rnacentral:rRNA from 1 species
GUGCCAGCAGCCGCGGUAAUACGGGGGGGGCAAGCGUUAUCCGGAUUUACUGGGUGUAAGGGGGGCGCAGACGGCCAUGGCAAGCCCGGUGUGAAAGGCAGGGGCAUAACCCCUGGACUGCACUGGGAACUGUCAGGCUGGAGUGCCGGAGGGGUAAGCGGAAUUCCUGGUGUAGCGGUGAAAUGCGUAUAUAUCAGGAGGAACACCGGCGGCGAAGGCGGCUUACUGGACGGCAACUGACGUUGAGGCCCGAAAGCGUGGGGAGCGAACAGGAUUAAAUACCCUGGUACUCCACGCCGUAAACGAUGUAUACCAGGUGUCGGAUAUCAAGGAUAUCCGGUGCCGAAGCAAACGCAUUAAGUAUACCACCUGGGGAGUACGUUCGCAAGAAUGAAACUCAAAGGAAUUGACGGGGACCCGCACAAGCGGUGGAGCAUGUGGUCUAAUUCGAAGCAACGCGAAGAACCUUACCAGGCCUUGACAUCCUGAUGACGCGGGCGUAACAGUCUGUUCCCUCCGGGGCAUCAGAGACAGGUGGUGCAUGGUUGUCGUCAGCUCGUGUCGUGAGAUGUUGGGUUAAGUCCCGCAACGAGCGCAACUCUUUAUUCCCAGUAGCCAGUAUUUCAGAUGGGCACUCUGGGGAGACUGCCGGGGAAAGAUCCGAGAGGAGGGCCGGAGAUGACGUCAAAUUCUCCUGCCUCUUAUGGGCCUGGGGCUACCCACGUGCUACAAUGGCGCAUACAGAGGGGAGGCAGAAGAAUCGAUCUAACGACACUCCCAAGAAAGGCCCCCC